rnacentral:rRNA from 1 species
GACGAACGCUGGCGGCGUGCUUAACACAUGCAAGUCGAACGGAAAGGCCCCUUUUGGGGUACUCGAGUGGCGAACGGGUGAGUAACACGUGCGUAACCUGCCCUUGACUUCCGGAUAACUUCCGGAAACUGGGGCUAAUACCGAAUAGGAAUCCUUUCUUCAUGGUGGGUGUUGGAAAGCUUCUGGGGUUUUGGGUGGACUCGCGGCUUAUCAGCUUGGUGGUGGGGUAGUGGCUUACCAAGGCUUUGACGGGUAGCCGGCCUGAGGGGGGGAGCGGCCACAUUGGGACCGGAAUAAGGCCCAGGCUCCUACGGGGGGCAGGAAGGGGGGAUAAUGCACAAUGGGGGGGAGGCUGAUGGAGGAACGCCGCGGGCGGGAUGACGGCCUUCCGGUUGUAAAACGGUUUCAGCAGGGGCGAAGCUUGUGGUGACGGUACCUGCAGAAGAAGCACCGGCUAACUACGUG